GGGCCCGUAGCUCAGUUGGUAGAGCAGGUGACUCUUAAUCACUUUGUCGCAGGUUCGAAUCCUGCCGGGCCCACCA
rnacentral:tRNA from 2 species